rnacentral:rRNA from 12 species
GAAGGCGGCCAUACUGUCCUGUGAGAGCAAGAUCCCGACAGAUCUCAAAAGCUAAGCAGGGCUGGGGCUGGCUAGUACUUCGAUGGGUGACCACCCAGGAAGACAAUGGGCCGCUCA